UAUCCAUGGCUAGGAACAGGCAUGGCGAAUGCUGAGAAGGUCACAGAGAUUACAUUGGGACUGCUUUAUCAUGUGGCCUAGUUCGUCCAAGCCAAGGCCAUGAGAUGGCAAUGGAAUAAUUGAUGGACUGCAAAUUGGCUGGAGAUAUACGAAUCAGGUCGUAUCUUGGUUAGUCACAAAGAAACACGAUCAUGAUUUUGACAAUUGCAUGACGUCUCAGCUACCGUGUCAAAUCUGAACGGUUGUUUAGAUUGCAUCAUAUCUUUUCCUUUUUUUCCCUGAUUGAGAUCCAAGUUCUGUUUUUCAAUUGAAAUAUCCAAUGGAUUUAUUAAUAGAUCGUAAUCGUAGUAAUUCAGGCAAGCUAAAAUCACUGGUUUCUAUUUCUUGUUUUCACUGAUUAAUGUUUUAAUAUGUAGGGAGUCUGUUAUUAGUAUCAGAUAGAUAUAGACAUAGAUAGAUAGAUAAAUAGAUAGAUAGAUAGAUAGAGAUAGAGAUAGAGAUAGAGAUAGAGAUAGAUAUAGAUAUGGAUAGGUAGAUAGAUAGAUAGAUAGAUAGAUGGAGAUAGAGAUAGAGAUAGAGAUAGUGAUAGAGAUAGAUAUAUAGAUAGAUAGACAAAUAAAUAGGCUUAUCUACAUAUCCGUUACCAUCAAUAUGAUACAAGAAAUGGAUGCACCUAGCUAUAUUUAAUUAGAAGUAUCCUUUACUAUCGAUGUGAUACUACAAGGACCACACAUGUCCCUACAUUAAUUAUGAACAUACCCAAAUUAUGUACACAUAUCUGUUAAGAGUUCGAAAUCAACUACUCCAUUGCCAAUAAUUAAUAGGUUGCAUCCACAUCCAUUGCCAACAACUUUAUACAAGAUAUAAAUGUGCAAACAUUAGAUUAUAACAUAUCCAAGUCAUAUAUCUCUCACUUAGUUAAAAGAGUCCAAUUAAGCGAUUGAUGAGCGAAUGGAGUCUAAAAGCUUCACUAUGACCACUAUAUAUAGAGACUGAGUGGCACAGAAGUCCUGCAUAAACACAUACCAAUAGUGCUACACAACAUAGAUCAUGAACAACGGAAAAGUAGCUGGAGUGUUAUGCUUCCUAGUGCUUGUGGCUCUCUCUUCUUGUUCGCUCCAUGCACGAGCAGCCAACGACAUAGAUCACUGCCUCCUUGAUAAAAAAAAGGUGAUGCGAGACUGUUGGCAUCACAUCGAAAAGAAACUUGGUGACCAGUACCCGCCACUCCGUAGCGCAUGUUGCAAUACAAUAAGAGAUGCAAAAGACAUCCACUGCGUCUGUGAUCGGUUCACCGCUCAUGAACUGACUUUGCUCAGUCUAGCCAAGUUUGCCAUGGCUACACAUGUAUGCGGCAAUGGGUUGCACACAUGCACUCACUGUGCAGGUUAUCAUGUUCCAGAAAUAAAGCUACCACCUCCACCCGCGGCAAGUACCUAGGCCUUAAGUGUAAGACCAUUUUCAUAAUGGAGAAAUAAUUAAAUAAAGCAAAUAAUGAUGUCAGAUGAAUGACAUUUGCUGUGUAUUUGACCUUUUUUGUGUGUAUUAAAAAAAAUUGGGCAUAGCCUCGUCA